UCGCGUGCUCUGGGGUCGGUGAAAUUCCGAGCCGGCGGUGACUGACGAAGGCAGGAUCGCUUCGCUCAGAAGUCCGCGACCCGGUCACAGCCAGUGACCGGUUGACCAGGUGGAACUCCUGGACCGACGGUCAAAGUCCGGAUGGGAAGCGCACGCAC
rnacentral:ncRNA from 2 species